rnacentral:rRNA from 1 species
AAACCAGCACCUCAAGUAGUCAGGAGGAUUAUUGGGCCUAAAGCAUCCGUAGCCUGUUCUGUAAGUUUUCGGUUAAAUCCACUAGCUCAACUAGUGGGCUGCCGAAAAUACUGUAGAACUAGGGAGUGGGAGAGGUAGACGGUAUUCGGUAGGAAGGGGUAAAAUCCUUUGAUCUAUUGAGGACCACCUGUGGCGAAGGCGGUCUACCAGAACACGUUCGACGGUGAGGGAUGAAAGCUGGGGGAGCAAACCGGAUUAGAAACCCCGGUAGUCC